GUAAAUGUAAGAAUGUAUCAGUAUCUAAUUACCUUUCCAAAUUAAUUUUUAUUUUUAGCUCUAUUAGAUUUUUCUCAGUGUAACAAAUGUUUAUUCCUAUGUAAUUAAGGGCGUAUUUCCUGUACAGAAUAUUCAUAUUACCUAAUUGAAAAUUAUAUGAUACAAAAAUAUAAUACUAUUUUUAGGCCAGGCAUGGUGGCUCAUACCUGUAAUCCCAACAUUUUGAGAGGCCAAGUUUGGAGAAUCAUUUGAGUCCAGGAGUUGACCAGCCUGGGCAACAUAGUGAGACCUUGUCCUUAUUAAACAAAUAAAUAAAUAGGUUGGGCACUGUGGCUCAUAUCUGUCAUCCCAGCAUUUUGGGUUGCCAGUGCAGGAGGAUUGCUUGAGCCCAGGAAUUUGAGACCAGCCUGGGCAGAAUAGCAAGACUCCAUCUCUACAAAUAAUAAAAUAUUAACCAGGUGUGGUGGUGCGCACCUGGGGUCCCAGCUACCUGGGAGGCUAAUGUGGGAGGUUUUCUCGAGGCUGCAGUGAACUGUGAAUGCACCACUGCAUUCCAGCCUAGGCCACAGAACAGGACC
rnacentral:lncRNA from 1 species